rnacentral:tRNA from 1 species
GGCGAAGUGGCAGAACGGUAAAUGCGCCAGAUUGAAACUCUGGUAGAGUUUCCAGCUCUGUGUGGGUUCAAGUCCCACCUUCGCCU